rnacentral:tRNA from 1 species
GCUGAUGUAGCUCAGCCGGUUAGAGUGCCUGCCUCACAUGCAGGAAGUCGGGGGUUCGAGUCCCUCCAUCAGCACCA